UACGGAGGGGGCUAGCGUUGUUCGGAAUUACUGGGCGUAAAGCGCGCGUAGGCGGACCUGCAAGUCGGGUGUGAAAGCCCCGGGCUCAACCUGGGAAUUGCAUUCGAGACUGAAUAGCUAGGGUACGGUAGAGGGAAGCGGAAUUUCCGGUGUAGCGGUGAAAUGCGUAGAUAUCGGAAGGAACACCAGUGGCGAAAGCGGCUUCCUGGUCCAGCACCGACGUUCAGGCACGAAAGCGUGGGGAGCAAACAGG
rnacentral:rRNA from 1 species